AGAUCUUCUGGAAGGCCAUACAGAACAUCAGUCACCUACUGAUACGGGUCGGUUUGUCCUGCAGGAGUAUCCAGGACUACGUAUCACCCUCUGAAAACAGUGCUGGGGAGCAGCUUAGAGGCAGCAAAAUGAAUUCUGUCUCUCAAAAGGUGUGACCUCCCGAAUGAGGGUUGGUUGUUCCCAGAGCACUGGAGACGGCUGUCAGUGCCAGGACAGCACCGGGUGCGGGUUGUCUCCAGGGACAAAGCGUUAAGGAGAUGACCCUCCUCUACAGAGGACCACGCCAGGGCAGGCUGGACAAGUCCCGCUGCCUCCCCCAGGAAAGCCGGUCGCUGCUGAGGGAAAGCGUCCCGCGGGCUGCAGCCCGCAUUCGGGAGCGGUAAUGAGAACGGGGCUUCCCCUCUCCGCCUGCCCCGCCCCGCCAGGAUACCUUUAGCUGGGGACACAGUGGCAGGUCCUUCACAAGUGAGAAGAUGGGUAAGCUGCCUGUCUGGGACACCCAAGGGAGCACGUUACCUGAACCAAGGAAGAAAAACCUCCAAGGAGAUGGAGCCCAAAGAGAGCGAAGUCGACACAGAAGUACAGGCAGCAGAGCAGGACAGGCAAAGAGCAGCUGGGGCACAACAGGCAGCCGGCCAGGGCGUGCGCUUUCUCUGUCUUGCGAGGUCAAAGACGACAGUCACGGCCUUACACAACUGGCUGCGCCACCCGGGCCCCCUGCUGUCCCGCCGUCGACACGACCUGCUUCCCCUACACCGUCCACCUGUAUAAAGCGCUUCUAUCGUGUCUUAAUCCUAAAAUGUGAACUUUACAGCAUGGGGAUAGCUCUGUAUUUUAGUGUCUAAAAUAGCGGGUCCUGGGCAAAUUAAGCUGCUUGUGCAUUAAUGCAGUCCGGACUCACCUUUUCUGUUUGCGUGGGGUUUUGUGGGUACUCCUCUUUGGGGAGCGAUGUGCCCUCACUUCCCCAAGCACAGCAGUUUGCACUUGACGGCUUUAAGACAAAAUCUGUUGGAAUAGCCUUACUCUGCUUCACCCUCUUCUUCAUUGUUAUCCUUUGUUUAUGAUGGGGUCUCGCUGUACAUAUUUUUUACAUAACCGCAGAUUUUAUUGGUGCAGAUCUUACCUUUGUUUCCAAAUCACCCAUGAAGCGUCAAACGACCCUGGCUGGGAACUGUCCCCAGGACCCAAACGCCAGAGCUGGCUCCGGUUUGGCACCCAGUCCUUCACUCACACGAUUCGCUCGCUGCUCUGUCAGUUUCUGUUCAAUAGCUAAACCGCUCUAUUAAAUCAAAAGGAUUUCCAGGGCUGUCUGAUCAUCUUUAACCCAGCAU